GACGAACGCUGGCGGCGUGCUUAACACAUGCAAGUCGAACGGAAAGGCCCUGCUUUUGUGGGGUGCUCGAGUGGCGAACGGGUGAGUAACACGUGAGUAACCUGCCCUUGACUUUGGGAUAACUUCAGGAAACUGGGGCUAAUACCGGAUAGGAGCUCCUGCUGCAUGGUGGGGGUUGGAAAGUUUCGGCGGUUGGGGAUGGACUCGCGGCUUAUCAGCUUGUUGGUGGGGUAGUGGCUUACCAAGGCUUUGACGGGUAGCCGGCCUGAGAGGGUGACCGGCCAAAUUGGGACUGAGAUAAGGCCCAGACUCCUACGGGAGGCAGCAGUGGGGAAUAUUGCACAAUGGGCGGAAGCCUGAUGCAGCAACGCCGCGUGCGGGAUGACGGCCUUCGGGUUGUAAACCGCUUUCGCCUGUGACGAAGCGUGAGUGACGGUAAUGGGUAAAGAAGCACCGGCUAACUACGUG
rnacentral:rRNA from 1 species